UUAAAANUUCGGGGCUUAACCCCGUGAUGGGAUGGAAACUGCUGAUCUAGAGUAUCGGAGAGGAAAGUGGAAUUCCUAGUGUAGCGGUGAAAUGCGUAGAUAUUAGGAAGANCACCAGUGGCGAAGGCGACUUUCUGGACGAACACUGACGCUGAGGCGCGAAAGCCAGGGGAGCGAACGGGAUUAGAUACCCCGGUAGUCCUGNCCGUAAACGAUGGGUACUAGGUGUAGGAGGUAUCGACCCCUUCUGUGCCGGAGUUAACGCAAUAAGUACCCCGCCUGGGGAGUACGACCGCAAGGUUGAAACUCAAAGGAAUUGACGGGGGCCCGCACAAGCGGUGGAGUAUGUGGUUUAAUUCGACGCAGCGCGAAGAACCUUACCAGGUCUUGACAUUGAUGGACAGAACCAGAGAUGGUUCCUCUUCUUCGGAAGCCAGAAAACAGGUGGUGCACGGUUGUCGUCAGCUCGUGUCAUGAGAUGUUGGGUUAAGUCCCGCAACGAGCGCAACCCCUAUCUUAUGUUGCCAGCACUUUGGGUGGGAACUCAUGAGAGACUGCCGCAGACAAUGCGGAGGAAGGCGGGGAUGACGUCAAAUCAUCAUGCCCCUUAUGACCUGGGCUACACACGUACUACAAUGGGAGUUAAUAGACGGAAGCGAGAUCGCGAGAUGGAGCAAACCCGAGAAACACUCUCUCAGUUCGGAUCGUAGGCUGCAACUCGCCUACGUGAAGUCGGAAUCGCUAGUAAUCGCAGGUCAGCAUACUGCGGUGAAUACGUUCCCGGGCCUUGUACACACCGCCCGUCACACCACGAAAGUCGGAAGUGCCCAAAGCCGGUGGGGUAACCUUCGGGAGCCAGCCNU
rnacentral:rRNA from 1 species